rnacentral:rRNA from 1 species
GCCCAGGUGCGGCAGCUAUACAUGCAGUCGAGCGAACAGAUAAGGAGCUUGCUCCUUUGACGUUAGCGGCGGACGGGUGAGUAACACGUGGAUAACCUACCUAUAAGACUGGGAUAACUUCGGGAAACCGGAGCUAAUACCGGAUAACAUAUUGAACCGCAUGGUUCAAUAGUGAAAGGCGGCUUUGCUGUCACUUAUAGAUGGAUCCGCGCCGUAUUAGCUAGUUGGUAAGGUAACGGCUUACCAAGGCAACGAUACGUAGCCGACCUGAGAGGGUGAUCGGCCACACUGGAACUGAGACACGGUCCAGACUCCUACGGGAGGCAGCAGUAGGGAAUCUUCCGCAAUGGGCGAAAGCCUGACGGAGCAACGCCGCGUGAGUGAUGAAGGUCUUCGGAUCGUAAAACUCUGUUAUCAGGGAAGAACAAAUGUGUAAGUAACUGUGCACAUCUUGACGGUACCUGAUCAGAAAGCCACGGCUAACUACGUGCCAGCAGCCGCGGUAAUACGUAGGUGGCAAGCGUUAUCCGGAAUUAUUGGGCGUAAAGCGCGCGUAGGCGGUUUUUUAAGUCUGAUGUGAAAGCCCACGGCUCAACCGUGGAGGGUCAUUGGAAACUGGAAAACUUGAGUGCAGAAGAGGAAAGUGGAAUUCCAUGUGUAGCGGUGAAAUGCGCAGAGAUAUGGAGGAACACCAGUGGCGAAGGCGACUUUCUGGUCUGUAACUGACGCUGAUGUGCGAAAGCGUGGGGAUCAAACAGGAUUAGAUACCCUGGUAGUCCACGCCGUAAACGAUGAGUGCUAAGUGUUAGGGGGUUUCCGCCCCUUAGUGCUGCAGCUAACGCAUUAAGCACUCCGCCUGGGGAGUACGACCGCAAGGUUGAAACUCAAAGGAAUUGACGGGGACCCGCACAAGCGGUGGAGCAUGUGGUUUAAUUCGAAGCAACGCGAAGAACCUUACCAAAUCUUGACAUCCUUUGACCGCUCUAGAGAUAGAGUCUUCCCCUUCGGGGGAC